ensembl:lncRNA
UGGCUAGUAAUGUUAGUUUGGUUGAGAGUAAAAGCUGUUCCUCUCAUACAUUGGUAUGUGAACUCAUGAACUCGAACGUGAUAUCAACAAGUGUUUUUAAAUGUAGGACGGCUAUCUUUUUUUUCCCUGCAGCCAAACGCCACAUGCCGUAGGUCUGGCAUGGUGCCGGAGAACUUAAAGCCCUGAUUCUGUAACGAAUGGUCCACUGAAGGUGAGUUGUGAUGAACCCAAGUGCAGCUUUUAUUCAAAAUAAUCCAAACAAAGAAGAAAGACUUGACUUGGCAUGAACAGACUAGUGAUUAGUUCUUGAACGAAUCAUUCUUUUGAGCCGGUUCGCAGGAAGUAACCGAUCGAGUCGGUUCACAAAUCAAUCUAAAUCGGACUUUAGUUCUGGGUUGAUGACGCAGGACGCACAGCCGAAGUAGCACGUCCAACUCAAAAAGAACCGAUUGAGCUGGUUCAACCAACUGUCGAAGUUUGCCAAGGAUUACCGAGGACCCAACAAGAGCCGAAUGAGCCAUGCCGAAGUUUGCCGAGUAUUACCGAAGAUUCUGAUGAGUCAAGAGCUUUAAUUCCAACCACACAAGUUCCCAUUUGCAAGCGUUCUUUGAAGAUACUGAGAUGUAAGAGACACUCAGAACUCCUGGAGCCCGAGACCGUGUGAUCUCACAGACUUGAAGUCCUGUACAUAAAUCUUGGCCAUUUAGAAACGGAAAACUGGUGCCUGCUGUCCUGUGGGGGGAGCAACUUAUAGACUAAACAAUACUGACCCGACUGCUGACCUGGCCACUUUUCACAACCCCCCUUCAGACUACACCAGUCCAGUAAUGAACUCUUGGGACAGCCUCUGACUCCACAGCCAACCCCCAUGUAACCUUGUGUAUAUGACAGAGAUUUCCCAAGAAUCCAGAAAAAGACCAUAGUUUUCUUUUAAGAUCACCAAAGGGACAAACCUACAGCCCUGCACUCCUCACACCCCUGACCUCCUGAAAAGAGUAAUUUCACUGCCAAUUAAACUGAACAAGGGAAUGAUCUAGUGCCGUG